CACGUAAGGGGCAAGCGUUGUCCGGAAUCACUGGGCGUAAAGCGCGCGUAGGCGGUUUGAUAAGUCGGAUGUGAAAGCCACGGGCUUAACCCGUGAACUGCGUUCGAAACUAUCUCACUUGAGUAUGGGAGAGGGAAGCGGAAUUCCCGGUGUAGGGGUGAAAUCCUUAGAUAUCGGGAAGAACACCAAUGGCGAAGGCAGCUUUCUGGCCCAUUUCUGACGCUGAGGUGCGAAAGCGUGGGGAGCGAACGGGAUUAGAUACCCCCGUA
rnacentral:rRNA from 1 species